GAUGAACGCUGGCGGCGUGCCUAAUACAUGCAAGUCGAGCGAACAGACGAGGAGCUUGCUCCUCUGACGUUAGCGGCGGACGGGUGAGUAACACGUGGAUAACCUACCUAUAAGACUGGGAUAACUUCGGGAAACCGGAGCUAAUACCGGAUAAUAUAUUGAACCGCAUGGUUCAAUAGUGAAAGACGGUUUUGCUGUCACUUAUAGAUGGAUCCGCGCCGCAUUAGCUAGUUGGUAAGGUAACGGCUUACCAAGGCAACGAUGCGUAGCCGACCUGAGAGGGUGAUCGGCCACCCUGGAAGUGAGACACGGUCCAGACGCCUACGGGAGGCAGCAGUAGGGAAUCUUCCGCAAUGGGCGAAAGCCUGACGGAGCAACGCCGCGUGAGUGAUGAAGGUCUUCGGAUCGUAAAACUCUGUUAUUAGGGAAGAACAAAUGUGUAAGUAACUAUGCACGGCUUGACGGUACCUAAUCAGAAAGCCACGGCUAACUACGUG
rnacentral:rRNA from 1 species